CCCGCACAAGCGGUGGAGUAUGUGGUUUAAUUCGAUGCAACGCGAAGAACCUUACCUGGUCUUGACAUCCCGGAGACCCUUAGGAAACUAGGGGGUGCUUCCAUCUGGAAGAAUCUGGAGACAGGUGCUGCAUGGCUGUCGUCAGCUCGUGUCGUGAGAUGUUGGGUUAAGUCCCGUAACGAGCGCAACCCUUGCCUUUAGUUGCCAGCAGUUCGGCUGGGCACUCUAAAGGGACUGCCGGUGUUAAACCGGAGGAAGGUGGGGAUGACGUCAAGUCCUCAUGGCCUUUAUGACCAGGGCUACACACGUACUACAAUGGCCGAUACAAAGGGCAGCGACACUGCGAGGUGAAGCCAAUCCCGUAAAAUCGGUCUCAGUCCGGAUUGGAGUCUGCAACUCGACUCCAUGAAGUUGGAAUCGCUAGCAAUCGUGGAUCAGCAUGCCACGGUGAAUACGUUCCCGGGCCUU
rnacentral:rRNA from 1 species